rnacentral:rRNA from 1 species
UACGUAGGGUCCGAGCGUUGUCCGGAAUUACUGGGCGUAAAGAGCUCGUAGGUGGUUUGUCGCGUUGUUCGUGAAAACUCACAGCUCAACUGUGGGCGUGCGGGCGAUACGGGCAGACUAGAGUACUGCAGGGGAGACUGGAAUUCCUGGUGUAGCGGUGGAAUGCGCAGAUAUCAGGAGGAACACCAAUGGCGAAGGCAGCUCUCUGGCUUCACCCUGACGCUGAGGCGCGAAAGCGUGGGGAGCGAACGGG